rnacentral:rRNA from 1 species
GACGAACGCUGGCGGCGUGCCUAAUACAUGCAAGUAGGACGCAGUUGCGAACGGGUGAGUAACGCGUAGGUAACUGCCUAUUAGAGGGGGAUAACUAUUGGAAACGAUAGCUAAUACCGCAUACUAGUAGAUGGACCUGCGUUGUAUUAGCUAGUAGGUAGGGUAAUGGCCUACCUAGGCAAAGAUACAUAGCCGACCUGAGGCGGGGAUCGGUCAAACUGUGACUGAGAAACGGCCCAGACUCCUACGGGAGUCAGCAGUAGGUAAUCUGCGGCAAUGUGGGGAACCCUGACCGAGCAACGCCGGGUGAUGGAAGAAGGUUUUCGGAUCUUAAAGCUCUUUUGUUAAGGAAGCGUUACUUAACCAAAAAGGGACGGCUAACUACGUGCCAGCAGCCGCGGUAAUAC